UUACUCUCUGGAGGCUCCAUGGGAGCCCAGAUCAACAUUCCAGGCACAGUGCAAGCCCUGAAAAAUGCAAGCCAAAGGAGAGAGGAAAAUGCUGACCCAUGCCUACACAUGAGGCAGGAGGAUGGAAGUGUGGCAGCCAGAUUGGGCUAUGUGGUGAGUUCAAGGCCAGCCUGGGCUCCCUCACAAAAAGAACAAGGCAAAACAACAAUAUGAACAAGCAGGAUCGAAUGCCGACUCUCUCGGGAAACACCAAACCGGUUCAGAAGCCUGUAUAACGCCAGCAAACCCAUCGGGAGCUUCAAACACCCAAAGGGACAGCAUUUGCCCCAGCUUCCCUGGCACACUGCACUUUGAUUCAGUUUGCAGAAGUUUUAGUUGGAGAUGCAAAGUGACCCGAGUACUGAUGGGCUCAUCAGUGCUUGACCUGGCCCAAAGGAAGCAGGGCAUUCUGCAUUGGGAAAUAUUUCUAGAUAGCCAGGGCCACCCCCAAACGGCCCUCUUUCUCCAUUCCCAUGACAUUCUGCCCAUCCAGUGCAAGGCUAGCCUAGCUGUCUACCACGAAGGCCACUUCAGGCCGAUCUCCAGUGACUGAGCCAAGGAGAGAGGAAUUAUGUCGUCAGCCUCAUCAGUGGGGGCCGCCAGAGGAAGAGGGUUCCCAGAGCAGCAGAACUGGGGUAAUUAAGCACACUAUAGCUGCGUGUGUUGAUGAAUGUCUUUAAUCCCAGUUGCAGGGAGGUGGGGGUCGAUCUCUGUGAGUGAGAGGCAGCCUGGUGUACAUGAUGAGUCUAGGUAGGCUAGCCAAGGAGGAGGAGGAGGAAGAAGAGGAGGAGGAGGAGGAGGAGGAGGAAAUAUUAGUGUAUAUUCUGGAAGAAGAAGACCAUGAAGAUGGGAAGGGGAGGUUAUCAGUUUGGGGAGUCACGGUGCUAGCAAUGGAACCCUGACCUUGUGUGUGCUGGGCGGUCAGGUCUAUCAUUUCCCUAGAUUCCCAGGCCUGGGGAGGUCUUUAUAUUACUCUGAUCAAUGCUGUGGGCAGAGUAGGGCUGGGGACUAUUCUAGAGUGGGUCCCUUUAGUUGAGAGAUUAUUACCUAAAAGCACUGCAUGUCCAUCCAUUUGGAAUGUCAUUAUGCUAAAAGGCCUUCCCAGGGGCCUGUGAAAUGGCUCAGCAAAUAAGAACACCUGUCGCCAGGCAGAAGGCCAGCGUUUGGUCCUCCCAGGGCUCGUGGGAAGGAGAGAACUGUUUCCUACCAACUGGCCAUACGUCCAUGUGUGAUCCUGCGUGUGCAGAAGCACGCAUAUACUCAAGGUCCCACUGUGUGGCUGAGGAUGAAUGACCCCAAACUUCUGAUGCUCUCCCCUCCCCUUCCGGAUUGCUGGGAUCGCAGGUCUGCACCACCAGGCUUAGUCUCCCGCCUUUUUGUAUCUUUUUGAGACAGGGUCUCACAAAGUUUCCCAGACAAGCUUUGAAGCUGCCAUCCUCCUGCCUCCGCAAAUAAUGACGACUUACAGAUCUACCGUUUUCUGUCUUACCUCACUGGGAUCUCAUGAAAGCCAAGCAUGGGUGCACAGAAAUGACAGGGGAGAGGCACAGCCAGUGAAUGUCGUCUCCAGACACCUCCUCGGCACAAAUACAACCAACCCGAAAUUGACUGACAUGAGAAACCACACGAGGAAAGUGGUCAGCCUCACUAUGGCACGAGUUUGGAGCCAGCUCUGAAGAAAGGGGCUGGGUCUCUGGGUACAGGUGUGUCAGAAACUGGUGCCAGAACACCCUGAGUUAUGGGCCACGGACUUCUGAGGCAGGCCUGUACCUGAUUUUUGUAUUUUAUCUUCCAUUCAACAUAUGCCCCGACCUGUAAAUUCAAGAGCCGGGCCUCUCCUGCGGCUCAUACAGUUACAUAAAGGAUAACAUGUUCUACUUA